AUCAUACCCCUCCUGGCAGUUCUCAGGCCCCUCCCCAUAAUCCAUGUUCCUCUGUAUAUCCCUGUAUUCUGUUUUAUAUAUAAUGUUUCCCCUAACUAAAGGACCAGGAGUGAGAUAUGUAGUAGGUAAGUGUACAUCUUGAUUAGCCGCAGUUAUAUAAACCUACUGACUCACACUGUCUGUAUUAUGUGUGUGUGCUGACUUACAGUGUAGUUCUAUGGCAUGUAGCUUCACACUGGUCUCCUGCAUGUAGGAGCUGACAGGAGAUAGAUGACAGGGCAGAGAGGGAAGACAGGCUGAAGCUGCAUCACAUAGGAGAAUAUGGAGACCCUGCAGUGUGAGGGGACAGCAGCUCUGUGUCACUAAUCUAUCAUGGCUGCCCUCAGAAGACACAAAUCCGUGCAGUGUGGUCAGACACAGGUCCAAUCUGUCUCUGCAAAGCCAGGCAUGAUGGCAAAUAUAGGAUUCUUUAGGAAAACCAUAUCUGAGGGGAGAAGAAAUCAAGAUGGCUGCCAAUCCACAAAUCACACAUCAAAUAAAAUAGGUAUACACAAGUCAAACACAAGAGACUCUUUCUUAUUCUUUAAUAAUGGCCUAUUCUGUACUAUAUGGACAAAAAAAUUAAAUCCCUCAGUGUGUCUUUAAAGGAA